AUUGAACGCUGGCGGCAUGCCUUACACAUGCAAGUCGAACGGUAACAGGUUAAGCUGACGAGUGGCGAACGGGUAAGGAAUACGUAACACCGUGCUGAGCUGCGGGGGAUAGUCCGGUGAAAGCCGGAUUAAUACUGCAUUAGACCUAAGGGCGAUACGGGGGGAUCGCUAGUCCUCUCGUUAUUGGCGCGGACGAUGUCAGUUUAGCUAGUUGGUGUGGUAAAAGGUUAACAAGGCGACCAGCUGUAGCUGGUCUGAGAGGGCGACCGGCCAGACUGGGAGGAAGACACGGCCCAGACUCAUACGGGAGGCAGCAGUGUGGAAUUUGGGACAAUGGGCGCAAGCCUGAACCAGCCAUGCCGCGUGCGGGAAGAAGGCGUUCGGGUUGUAAACCGCUUUUGUCAGUGAAGAAAUCCUUUGGGUGAAGACCUCGGGGGGAUGACGGUACCUGAAGAAUAAGCACCGGCUAACUACGUG
rnacentral:rRNA from 1 species